UUCUGGAUGGCGUAGUGGUUUGGGUGUUGGACUAUGGCUCUGGAGACGAGGGAUCGAUUCCCAGAUCGGCCA